rnacentral:rRNA from 1 species
CCUACGGGGGGCAGCAGUGGGGAAUAUUGCACAAUGGGGGAAACCCUGAUGCAGCGACGCCGCGUGAGUGAAGAAGUAUUUCGGUACGUACAGCUCUAUCAGCAGGGAAGAAAAACCGGCCUUAGGGCCGCCAGACGGUACCUGACGAAGAAGCCCCGGCUAACUACGUGCCAGCAGCCGCGGUAAUACGUAGGGGGCAAGCGUUAUCCGGAUUUACUGGGUGUAAAGGGAGCGUAGCAGGCGGCGCAAGGCUGGAGUGAAAUGGCGGGGCCCAACCCCCGAACUGCCUUGGAAACUGUGGAGCUUGAGUGCAGGAGAGGUAAGCGGAAUUCCUGGUGUAGCGGUGAAAUGCGUAGAUAUUAGGAGGAACACCAGUGGCGAAGGCGGCUUGCUGGACUGUAACUGACGUUGAGGCUCGAAAGCGUGGGGAGCAAACAGGAUUAGAUACCCGGGUAGUC